UACGUAGGGGGCAAGCGUUGUCCGGAUUUAUUGGGCGUAAAGAGCGUGUAGGCGGUUUUACAGGUCUGCUGUGAAAACUCGAGGCUCAACCUCGAGCUGUCGGUGGAAACUGUAAGGCUAGAGUCCGGAAGAGGAGAGUGGAAUUCCUGGUGUAGCGGUGAAAUGCGCAGAUAUCAGGAAGAACACCCGUGGCGAAGGCGGCUCUCUGGGACGGUCCUGACGCUGAGACGCGAAAGCGUGGGGAGCGAACAGG
rnacentral:rRNA from 1 species